GUCUGAACGUGGGGGGACCACCCUCCAAGCCUAAGUACUCCUCAGCGACCGAUAGUGAACCAGUACCGUGAGGGAAAGGUGAAAAGCACCCCGACGAGGGGAGUGAAAUAGACCUGAAACCGGACACCUACAAACAGAUGGAGCCCAAGAUACGUUCUGGGUGACAUCGUACCUUUUGUAUUAUGGGCCAGCGACUUAAUUUAACGAGCAAGCUUAAGCCGAUAGGUGUAUGCGCAGCGAAAGCGAGUCUGAAUAGGGCGCCAAGUUCGUUGUAUUAGACCCGAAACCUAGUGAUCUAGCCAUGAGCAGGUUGAAGGUGAGGUAACACUCACUGGAGGACCGAACGGGUGUCUGUUGAAAAAGACUCCGAUGACUUGUGGUUAGGGGUGAAAGGCCAAUCAAACUGGGAAAUAGCUGGUUCUCCGCGAAAGAUAUUUAGGUAUCGCCUCGCAUGAAUGCUUCGGGGGGUAGAGCACUGGAUGGGCUAGGGGGACUUACCGUCUUACCAAACCCAACCAAACUCCGAAUACCCGAAAGCAAUGUGCGGGAGUCACACGGCGGGUGCUAACGUCCGUCGUGGAGAGGGAAACAACCCGGACCUACAGCUAAGGCCCCUAAUUCGUGGCUAAGUGGGAAAGGAUGUGGAAAUCCCAAAACAACCAGGAGGUUGGCUUAGAAGCAGCCAUCCUUUAAAGAAAGCGUAACAGCUCACUGGUCUAAAUAAGGGUUUCUGCGCCGAAGAUGUACCGGGGCUCAAGCCACGAGCCGAAGCUUUGGGCGCGAAAGCGCGGUAGCGGAGCGUUCCGUAAGCUGAUGAAGGGACAGCCGUGAGGCAUCCUGGAGGUAUCGGAAGUGCGAAUGCUGACAUGAGUAACGACAAACACUGUGAAAGACAGUGUCGCCGAAAGUCCAAGGGUUCCUGCGUAAAGUUAAUCUUCGCAGGGUUAGCCGGUCCCUAAGGCGAGGCAGAAAUGCGUAGUCGAUGGGAAUGCAGUGAAUAUUCUGCAGCCAGUGGAAUGGUGACGAAUCUCGUAUGUUGUCUGACCUUAUUGGAUUGGUCGGGCCUCGAAGAGGUUCCAGGAAAUAGCCUCCACAUUAGACCGUACCCGAAACCGACACAGGUGGACUGGUAGAGUAUACCAAGGCGCUUGAGAGAACUAUGUUGAAGGAACUCGGCAAUUUACCUCCGUAACUUCGGGAUAAGGGGGCCCUCUAUGUACGCAAGUGCAUAGGGGGGGCACAGACCAGGGGGUGGCAACUGUUUAACAAAAACACAGGGCUCUGCGAAAUCGCAAGAUGACGUAUAGGGUCUGACGCCUGCCCGGUGCCGGAAGGUUAAGAGGAGGAGUGCAAGCUCUGAAUUGAAGCCCCGGUAAACGGCGGCCGUAACUAUAACGGUCCUAAGGUAGCGAAAUUCCUUGUCGGGUAAGUUCCGACCUGCACGAAUGGCGUAAUGACUUCCCCGCUGUCUCCAACAUAGACUCAGUGAAAUUGAAUUCCCCGUGAAGAUGCGGGGUUCCUGCGGUCAGACGGAAA
rnacentral:rRNA from 1 species